rnacentral:rRNA from 1 species
AGUGAACGCUGGCGGUAGGCCUAACACAUGCAAGUCGAACGGCAGCACAGUAAGAGCUUGCUCUUACGGGUGGCGAGUGGCGGACGGGUGAGGAAUACAUCGGAAUCUACUUUUUCGUGGGGGAUAACGUAGGGAAACUUACGCUAAUACCGCAUACGACCUACGGGUGAAAGCAGGGGAUCUUCGGACCUUGCGCGAUUGAAUGAGCCGAUGUCGGAUUAGCUAGUUGGCGGGGUAAAGGCCCACCAAGGCGACGAUCCGUAGCUGGUCUGAGAGGAUGAUCAGCCACACUGGAACUGAGACACGGUCCAGACUCCGCAGGGAGGCAGCAGUGGGGAAUAUUGGACAAGGGGCGCAAGCGUGAUCCAGCCAUACCGCGUGGGUGAAGAAGGCAUUCGGGUUGUAAAGCCCUUUUGUUGGGAAAGAAAAGAAGCAGGUUAAUACCCCGCUGUUCUGACGGUACCAAAAGAAUAAGCACCGGCUAACUUCGUG